GACGUAGGGUGCAAGCGUUGUCCGGAAUUAUUGGGCGUAAAGAGCUCGUAGGCGGUCUGUCACGUCGGCUGUGAAAACCCGAGACUCAACCUCGGGCCUGCAGUCGAUACGGGCAGACUAGAGAUCGGUAGGGGAGACUGGAAUUCCUGGUGUAGCGGUGAAAUGCGCAGAUAUCAGGAGGAACACCGGUGGCGAAGGCGGCAUCCUGGACCAAUUCUGACGCUGAGGAGCGAAAGCCAGGGGAGCAAACGGG
rnacentral:rRNA from 1 species